rnacentral:rRNA from 1 species
GACGUAGGGGGCGAGCGUUAUCCGGAUUGAUUGGGUGUAAAGGGUGAGUAGGCGGUCAUACAAAGUCAUAUGUUAAAAGCCACGGCUCAACUGUGGUAAGGCAUAAGAAACUGGGUGACUAGAGUGUAGGAGAGGUAAGCGGAAUUCCUAGAGUAGCGGUGAAAUGCGUAGAUAUUAGGAAGAACACCAGUGGCGAAGGCGGCUUACUGGACUGUAACAGACGCUGAGGCACGAAAGCGUGGGGAGCAAA